rnacentral:rRNA from 1 species
UACGAAGGGGACUAGCGUUGUUCGGAAUCACUGGGCGUAAAGCGCACGUAGGCGGGUUUUUAAGUCAGGGGUGAAAUCCUGGAGCUCAACUCCAGAACUGCCUUUGAUACUGAAGAUCUUGAGUCCGGGAGAGGUGAGUGGAACUGCGAGUGUAGAGGUGAAAUUCGUAGAUAUUCGCAAGAACACCAGUGGCGAAGGCGGCUCACUGGCCCGGUACUGACGCUGAGGCACGAAAGCGUGGGGAGCAAACAGG